ACAGGCGGUCACUAGUGAUCUGGACCUGCGUGGGGCGAAGUUUGUGGAGUACUGGGCUAAAAUCGGCAGCGAGGAGAAUGUGACUCUGUGUCAUCGUCCAACCUGUCGGAAAGAGGGUGUGUUACUGGAUUAUUCUACUGAUGGAGGUGUGUCUUGGACGCUGCU